AACGUCUCCUCUUCUGAGUUAUGAAUGCAUAUCCUCGAGUACAAAAUCUCGGAUAUGACUUCACAACAAAGUUUGGUCCAAUGACCAUCUCACGUAUCCAAUCGUCAAAUGUUUCACCUCUGGCUAAACCAGCAGACACCUAUUAAUAUCACAUAUAUAUGUUAUAUCAAUAAAUGUGAAUUAGUAUAAAUAUGUGAUAAAUUAUAUUUUAAUUUGUUUAAAGCACUCACAUAAGUAAACGUCCAGCCAGCAAAUUCUCUCUUCUUCAUUUCUUCUAGUUUGUCCUCUGUGGCGUAUCUAUAUUCGAACCGCUUUUCUGCCAUGAA
rnacentral:lncRNA from 1 species